UGACAAGUACCUGCCAAACACUGUUGUGAAAACCUCUCUCCUGGGAAAACAAAAGUCAUGACAUUUUGAGCACAAUUGUGUGUGGGAUGCAUUCAUCAAUAGAGCUGGAAGCACCAACCACCAUAGGAGAGGAAACUUUUAGUUACAAGCACAUGAAUAAAUAAAAUCAAACUCAACUGGAAUGACGUUCCUGAGGAUGGAGAUACAUUUUUUUGUUGACCCAUCUAAACUUGAACAGCAAGUGAUAAUCAGUCUCCAAUCAGAAAGUCCCAGAAUGCUGAGUGCUCUGUAUUUGUAAUCCCAUUGCUCCUAUUGAGAAGUUAGCUGUUGGCCAAACUAUUCCUACUUUCAAGGACUUAUAGGAGCAGAAAUCAGAAGACUUUACUCCACACACUUCAGGUGGACAUGUGGACAAAGCCAUCGGAGAACAUGACAAAAAUACAGCAAGAGCAGAGACAAGAUCAGAUCAUCCUGGGGGCAGAUGCUGGGCUCUGACCAAUUUGAGAGAGAAAAGGAAAAAGAACCCAGCUACAAGAUGCACAAGUAGCAGGCCACAGCCACCAACAUCAGCAGAGCAAUUGGAGGCCAGGAAGACAAGGACACUUCUGAAGAGACUGAAAAAAGCAGAAGACAGUCCAAGUCACUGCAAGGUUCCAAGAUGGGGUUUCUGAGAAAGACCAAAUUAGUUAUAGAGCACUAGCUCCCA
rnacentral:lncRNA from 1 species